UACGUAGGGUGCGAGCGUUGUCCGGAAUUAUUGGGCGUAAAGAGCUCGUAGGCGGUGUGUCACGUCGGCCGUGAAAACCUGCAGCUUAACUGUGGGCGUGCGGUCGAUACGGGCAUCACUGGAGUUCGGCAGGGGAGACUGGAAUUCCUGGUGUAGCGGUGAAAUGCGCAGAUAUCAGGAGGAACACCAAUGGCGAAGGCAGCUCGCUGGAACGGAACUGACGCUGAGGCGCGAAAGCGUGGGGAGCGAACAGG
rnacentral:rRNA from 1 species